GAGUGUCUCCCAAUGAAGAUGCAAGGAACAUUGAGUCGCUGAUCGAUGAAUGAUAUUGAAGGGGAGAUGCAAUCAAAUUUAGGAAGCAGCAGCAAGCAAGGAGGGAAGAAAAUCGUUCAGGCACAAAAGGCGUCGAAACAGAAGAAAAAGAAAAAUAAUGGAGGAAAACAGAAAGAUCAAGAUCCCAAACCUCUUCUUCAUCAAUCUUCUGGCAAUGGAUCAAAUGACUCCCUUCCACUCCCAGCAAGUAAGUUUGGAAUGAGAGUGAGAACCCUGUUGAUAUAUAUAACCAUAUGGUUUUCAUUAAGGACAUAUGUUGGUGGAGAAAAUUGAGGUUUAUUGUGGAGAAUGACUGAGCAUGGAUUAGAGAUGAGUUUUCCAUACUUCAUAAGAUAAUAAUCAGGGAUUUGAUUAGCCAGAUCUCCCGAUUUGAGCGGGCAAACAAGAAGAAUGGUCGCUUGACUCUGGAUAAUAUAGAGAUUGUUGACAACUGUACCAGGAUUCUACCUCUUGAAGGCCUAGACAUGCCAACUUAUAGGAUGCAAGUUCGAGAUUUACUGCCCGCAUUACUUGGAUGUAGUCGAGAUCAAGAAUUGAAUUUAUCAACUUGCACUUAUCUGGAGCUAUGUCACUUUCGAGACAUGUUUGACUAUGACUUGCCCAUAUUCGAGUUUGAACAGCUGCGAUACCAUCCUUUUCUAAUGCUCUCCUCUAAAGACAGAAUGCGAUUUAUAGAUAAAGCCAUGUUGAGAGUGCAGUAUGUUGGUUACGAUAAGUGGGAGACCGACUACACAAACAACUGCAAAAACAGAGCUUCAAGAACGCAAGAAAGACUUCAAGAGGAUGGAAGACGUUGAAGAUGACUACGGCAAGGAUGUGGAGAUGCUUUAUGGCUUCAAUGCUUGAACAAUGGAGAGAGCCGAAAUUUAGAGAAUAAAGGGGAGGAAUUACGAAUUUGAUUAUGAGUUUUGAUGAUUUUUCAAAGUUUGUGGAAUGGAUGCAAGUAUAUGGAGGGAGAGAGAUGGUAUGAAUAGGGUGAAGUAAGGUGUGUAGGACGUCCAGCAUUGAUUUCCUCUUGAAUUUUCUCAUCAAUCCACGUCAUCAUGGCUGCAAUAUAUCCUCAAAAUCAAAUCAAAUAUGGAG